rnacentral:pre_miRNA from 1 species
AGGAGGAACAACCCCAGUGGCGGUGGCAGCUCUGGAGCCCUGGAGUCAGCUCCCGCAGUAACCACAGAGCUCUCCGUCUGCAAGGCCUGGAUGCUCCAUGGCGGG